CCUACGGGUGGCAGCAGUGGGGAAUAUUGCACAAUGGGGGAAACCCUGAUGCAGCGACGCCGCGUGGGCGAGGAAGUACCUCGGUAUGUAAAGCCCUAUCAGCAGGGAAGAAACAGGACAGUACCUGACUAAGAAGCCCCGGCUAACUACGUGCCAGCAGCCGCGGUAAUACGUAGGGGGCAAGCGUUAUCCGGAUUUACUGGGUGUAAAGGGAGCGUAGACGGCAGCGCAAGUCUGGAGUGAAAUCCCAUGGCUUAACCAUGGAACUGCUUUGGAAACUGUGCAGCUGGAGUGCAGGAGAGGUAAGCGGAAUUCCUAGUGUAGCGGGGAAAUGCGUAGAUAUUAGGAGGAACACCAGUGGCGAAGGCGGCUUACUGGACUGUAACUGACGUUGAGGCUCGAAAGCGUGGGGAGCAAACAGGAUUAGAUACCCCGGUAGUC
rnacentral:rRNA from 1 species